rnacentral:lncRNA from 1 species
AAUAGGCUUUGAAAGCGAACAGCAUGGAUCCUGACAAGACUGCGCAGAUGUGCAGGCUGGUCUGGAUCCAUGCUGGUCACUUUCAAAGCCACUAUGUUGGUUUUCUCAUGGUGCGGCUCAUUUAUAAACUGCUAUAAUGACAGAAAAUGUUAGUUCCCUAUCCUCGUUCUCUGUAGGAUAAAAGUAGAACUUUGACCCACUUUUUUGAUGAUUUAUUUGCCAAAAGUAUAUUGCUGAAAGAUAAUUAAAUGUACCAGAUAGUGUUGUUAUAAAUAGAGUUUACUGAAUAUAAGACUCACAGUAAUUAGUAUACCCAGGAUAUAUUUAGAAAGUCCAACCUUACUCGACUAUGAAGAUUGGUUUAUGACCUCCGUUCCUGUAAACCUGUUCUUCAUCCUUGACAAAACCACCAUAUAUCACAGUACUCUGGUAUCAUCCCUCCUUUAAAACUUCAAAACAGAUAAACAUAACUUUAAAAAGCAUAUGAUUAUGAUAGGUAUGUGUUAGUGCCAAUCACACCUGAUUGUUCAAACAAUGCAAAACGUGCAGUUUGAAUUGCUAAUUUUGCAAGCAAGUUCCUUUUUAUUUGGCUGCUCUGAACAGUGUUCAAAAUUACACUUUUUUGGUUGAAAAUUUUCAGAAUUUUUGUAAAUGUAGCCUUUGGAAAAAAUUAUAUUGAACCACCAAAGGCGUUUUUCAGAUGAAUUGGUUUAUAUGACGCAUAAAACUAAUUAUUAGUAUUUAACCUAGUCACUUGUUUGAGGCCCGAGUUAAAAGUUUUUGACUAAGUAUGUUUGCCUCUCUGAGACACGAGGACAUUGGCCAGUCUUUAGGAACAAUUCACUUAGCUUAUCAUAUUAUUGUAUAAUUUUGAUGGUUGUAGCUCAUUUCUACAGUCUGAAAAGUGUCUGUUUUCGUAUUAGUGUUAUUUAAGUUGGCAGAUUUCUCAUUUUAUGUUUAUCACUUUGUGCCAUCGGCAGAUAUUAACAGUUUCUUGCUUGAUACUUAUUAUAUUUAAGAUAAAAUUUUGUGACAUAAUUUUCUGAAAACAGAAGUAAAGUAAUAACGUGUCGUAAUUCGAUCCAUGCUCAUAAGAAAAUUUAAACCAUGGAUUAGAAGGAAAUUUAAACCAUGGCUCACAGGGAAAUUUAAAUUAUGACUAAAAAGGAAAUUUAAACUAUGGCUCAUAGGAUGAUUUAAACCAUGGCUCAAAGGGAGAAUUAAAUUAUGACUUAUAGGGAAAUUUAAAUCAUGCCAAAUAAGGAAAAUUGAACCAUGGCUUAAAGGGAGAUAUAAAUUAUGAUUAGUAGGGAAAUUUAAAUCAUGGCUUAUAGGGAAAUUUAAAUCAUGGCUUAAAGGGAGAUAUAAAUUAUGACUAGUAGGGAAAUUUAAAUCAUGCCAAAUAAGGAAAAUUGAACCAUGGCUUAAAGGGAGAUAUAAAUUAUGAUUAGUAGGGAAAUUUAAAUCAUGCCAAAUAAGGAAAAUUGAACCAUGGCUUAAAGGGAGAUAUAAAUUAUGACUAUAGGGAAAUUUAAAUCAUGCCAAAUAAGGAAAAUUGAACCAUGGCUUAAAGGGAGAUAUAAAUUAUGACUAGUAGGGAAAUUAAAAUCAUGCCAAAUAAGGAAAAUUUAACCAUGGCUUAAAGGGAGAUAUAAAUUCUGACUAGUAGGGAAAUUUAAACCAUGGCUUAUAGGGAAAUUUAAAUUAUGGCUCAUAGGAAAAUUGAAACCAUGGCUCAAAGGGAGGUUUUAAUCAUAGCUCUUAGGGAAUAUCUCAGCUUUGUUCUAAAUACACCCAUCCAUGACAGACUAUUAUUACCCUUGUAAUCAUCACACAAUUUGUCAAUAAAAUGAGUUCAGUUGCCUUUCAGAACUAAACCAAUACACUAUCAUGUUCAUUCAUAAGGCUGACCUGUUUGCUCAAAAUAAGGACUUCUAAUUGCUAUAUAUGUAAUUUCUUUGUUGUAUGUACAAUAUAUAUAUAUCAGUGAUGUUUUGGUGGAUAAUUUGCUUCGAGGAAUCUGUGAACACAGAUGAAAAAUCAUUGUGUUUAGUUCGCAAGUAAUGAUGCCUUGCUUUUCAUCCUGCCAUCAAGAUACUAUUAUUUCAAAGGAAACUGCGACUUUCAGAAAGUCACAGUUUCUGUGUGAAGGAAGAGGUUGGGGUCUUAUAUUUUCACAAUGUUAAUCACAGCCAAUUUUUUUUUUUGCUUUUUAAAGCGCAUUACAAACCAGUUUCUAGUAAUUAAAAAUUAAAUCAUAAAUGGAAAAUACUACUGCCUUGCUAUGGUCAAGUGACUUAAUAUUGAUCUUGAAUAACUGUUAGUAAAACAAAAUUAUAUCUUUUGAGGCUAGAUACAUGUUCAACUAAAUUGAAGUAAUUUUCUAGAUAAGAAAAUAAUUGUUGUACUAUUUUAUCUUGUUAUUUUUACAAAUAUUUUAUUAAAAUUUUAUCUCAUCAA